rnacentral:lncRNA from 1 species
AAAAAAUAUAAAUUACAUUUUAACCCCUCUACUUUUUAAAAUUUACAUUUUGACCCCAAAAUUUUCUUUAAAUUACACUUUGACCCCUAAUAUUUCGUAAAUUACAGUCAAGCCCCUAAACUUUCCAGAAAUUACAUUUUUGCCCUAUAUUUUCCUAAAAUCGCAUUUUUGCCCCAGAAACUUUACACCCGUUACAAUUUAGUCCUUCUGGGCAUGACAAGACUGCCCCCAACCAGCAUCCGGGCGUGCACCGCACCCUACGCCUGACACCGCCAAUCAGCCAUGCUCCCCACCUCCAUGCCACCUGAAAACAAGAAGGAAAAAGACAAAAUUGAAAGAUUAAAAGGAGAAAAUUGAAGAGAAAGGUGGGGAUUUUUGGGCAGCCAAAAACAAAAAAAAACAGCAGAGAAAAGAGAAAAAAAACAGCAGCAAGCCAAAAGCCUCCACCACCACCCUCCCGCAACCAUCGUCGUCGCACCACCAUUGUGACGCCACCACCACCGUCACACCUACACAAAUGAGGGAAGCAACAAGCAAAUUAUAAAAGCAACAAGCAAAGAAAAAAUAGCAACCAAAAAGAAAAGGAAGAAAGAAAAGAAGAGAAGAAGAAAGAAAGAGAGAAGAGGAGAGGCCGACGAUCGUCACACCGGACGGAGGAGGCGGCGGCGGCGUAGUGACUUGGGGCUAAGGUGACCCGAAGAAGAAAGAAAAAAGAAAGAAAAAAGAAGGAAAAAGGGAAAGAAAAUAGAAAUAUAUAUAUAUAUGCCGGGCUAACCCGACCUGAUGACCCGGAUCCGACCCGCGCCCGACCCAGCCAGCAGCCAACAGGCCAACAGCAGGCCACUCCAACUGUUGGGCAGCAGCCCACUAAGGCCCAAUUCGCAGCAAAAAAAAAGAGGCC